rnacentral:rRNA from 1 species
GACGAACGCUGGCGGCGUGCUUAACACAUGCAAGUCGAACGGUGAAGCGCCUUCCUUUUUGGUGGGUGUGGAUGAGUGGCGAACGGGUGAGUAGCACGUGAGUAACCUGCCCCCUUCUUCUGGAUAACCGCAUGAAAGUGUGGCUAAUACGGGAUAUUCUGGGUCUGUCGCAUGAUGGGUCUGGGAAAGAUAUUGUUUCGGUGGGGGAUGGGCUCGCGGCCUAUCAGCUUGUUGGUGGGGUGAUGGCCUACCAAGGCGGUGACGGGUAGCCGGCCUGAGAGGGUGGACGGUCACACUGGGACUGAGCCGCGGCCCAGACUCCUACGGGAGGCAGCAGUGGGGAAUAUUGCACAAUGGGCGCAAGCCUGAUGCAGCGACGCCGCGUGAGGGAUGGAGGCCUUCGGGUUGUGAACCUCUUUCGCCAGUGAAGCAGGCCUGCCUCGUUUGUGGGUGGGUUGACGGUAGCUGGAUAAGAAGCGCCGGCUAACUACGUG